GGACUACUGGGGUUUCUAAUCCUGUUUGCUCCCCACGCUUUCGCGUCUCAGCGUCAGUCACCGUCCAGAUGGCCGCCUUCGCCACCGGUGUUCUUCUCGAUAUCUACGAAUUUCACCUCUACACCGAGAGUUCCACCAUCCUCUCCGGGACUCUAGCAUGGCAGUAUCGAAUGCACUUCCUGGGUUGAGCCCAGGGCUUUCACACCCGACUUGCCACGCCGCCUACACGCGCUUUACGCCCAGUAAUUCCGAACAACGUUCGCACCCUCUGUCUUACCGCGGCUGCUGGCAC
rnacentral:rRNA from 1 species